rnacentral:rRNA from 1 species
GAUGAACGCUGGCGGCGUGCCUAACACAUGCAAGUCGAACGGAGAUUACGGACGUAAGUUUUCGGAUGGAAGACUGUAAUUCUUAGUGGCGGACGGGUGAGUAACGCGUGGGCAACCUGCCCUAUACAGGGGGAUAGCAGCUGGAAACGGCUGGUAAGACCGCAUAAGUCGGUUAAAUCGCAUGAUUUGAUCGGGAAAUGAGCAAUCAGGUAUAGGAUGGGCCCGCGUCCGAUUAGCCAGUUGUCAGGGUAAAAGCCUACCAAAGCGACGAUCGGUAGCCGGACUGAGAGGUCGGACGGCCACAUUGGGACUGAGACACGGCCCAAGAUCCUACGGGAGGCAGCAGUGGGGGAUAUUGCACAAUGGAGGAAACUCUGAUGAAGCGACGCCGCGUGAGUGAAGAAGUAUUUCGGUAUGUAAAGCUCUAUCAGCAGGGAAGAUGAUGACGGUACCUGACGAAGAAGCCCCGGCUAACUACGUG